UUGUUUGUAUCAUUUAAAACUAUUCGAUAUAGAUAUGGAAUUAUGUAUACCUAUAUUAUAUUAUAUAAAUGAUCUGGACGACAAGACGAGUUGAAUUCCGUGUGACUGUCUGUCCGUGCAAUCGAUAACUUGAGUAAAAACAGAAAUAUCUAGAUGAAACUUUGUACAAGUAUUCCUGGGCACCCAUGGAAGGUUGGAAGUGAGAAGAGAAUAUUUUGAUUACAAUUAUGUCAAAAAUUAUGGAUAUCGGCACGCUUUUCUCGACAGUAGUAAUAUGAUUUGGUAUACAAAUCAAGCACUGAUGAAUGCAUCGGGAUAAAACUUUGUACGAAGAGUGCCUUAAAUAUGUGCCACGUAAUAAUAAAAAAAUGUCAAAAUCGAAAUACUGUUCAAGCCACCAGAUACCGAAUAUUUGGGCCUAAGGCGAACUUUUGAUUAAAAACAUCGGUCAAUCUGUGAGCUAAUAUACGAUUUUCAAACUUCCAGUUGGCCUUAUACCGUAUCGGUCAAUAUGUAAGAUAUCUUAGCAGCAUUAACUCCGCAUAUAUUAUUGAAUAUUCUAUAGUCCAAUACCGAGAAUAUGUGAAAUUUGUCUACAAAUAUCUCCGACUCCCAUAUACUACAUAUAAUGAUUUUCGUUAUUCUAAUAAAUCUCAUGCCGAAUAUGUCGGUCAGUGUGUGAGUUAUUAAUUUU